rnacentral:rRNA from 1 species
UGGGGAAUAUUGCACAAUGGGCGAAAGCCUGAUGCAGCAACGCCGCGUGCGGGAUGACGGCCUUCGGGUUGUAAACCGCUUUCAGUAGGGACGAAGCUAACGUGACGGUACCUACAGAAGAAGGACCGGCCAACUACGUGCCAGCAGCCGCGGUGAUACGUAGGGUCCGAGCGUUGUCCGGAAUUAUUGGGCGUAAAGAGCUUGUAGGCGGCUUGUCACGUCGGAAGUGAAAACUUGGGGCUCAACCCCAAGCCUGCUUCCGAUACGGGCUAGCUAGAGGAAGGUAGGGGAGAACGGAAUUCCGGGUGGAGCGGUGGAAUGCGCAGAUAUCCGGAGGAACACCAGUGGCGAAGGCGGUUCUCUGGACCUUUCCUGACGCUGAGAAGCGAAAGCGUGGGGAGCAAACAG